GGCUGUGAUCAUUGUGGUAACUGUGGCUUUCAUUCAGGAACACCGAUCUGAAAAGUCCUUGCAAGAGCUUAACAAGUUAGUCCCGCCAGAGUGCAACUGUGUGAGGGAAGGAAAACUGCAACAUCUUCUGGCCCGAGAACUUGUACCUGGGGACGUUGUAUGCCUUUCCAUGGGAGACCGGGUGCCAGCAGAUA